rnacentral:rRNA from 1 species
GGGGUUGUAGGACUGCAAUGUGGACUCAAAGAUUAUAGAAGAAUGAUUUGGGAAGAUCAGCCAAAGAGAGUAAUAGCCUCGUAUUUAAAAUAGUCUUUGUACCUAGCAGUAUCCUGAGUACGGCGGGACACGUGAAAUCCCGUCGGAAUCUGGGAGGACCAUCUCCCAACCCUAAAUACUCCCUAGUGACCGAUAGUGAACCAGUACCGUGAGGGAAAGGUGAAAAGCACCCCGGGAGGGGAGUGAAAUAGAACCUGAAACCGUGUGCCUACAACAAGUUCGAGCCCGUUAAUGGGUGAGAGCGUGCCUUUUGUAGAAUGAACCGGCGAGUUACGUUAUGAUGCGAGGUUAAGUUGAAGAGACGGAGCCGUAGGGAAACCGAGUCUGAACAGGGCGAAUUAGUAUCAUGACGUAGACCCGAAACCAUGUGACCUACCCAUGAGCAGGUUGAAGGUGCGGUAAGACGCACUGGAGGACCGAACCAGGGCACGUUGAAAAGUGCUUGGAUGACUUGUGGGUAGCGGAGAAAUUCCAAACGAACUUGGAGAUAGCUGGUUCUCUCCGAAAUAGCUUUAGGGCUAGCGUCGACAUUAGAGAUUCUUGGAGGUAGAGCACUGUUUGGGUGAGGGGUCCAUCCCGGAUUACCAAUCUCAGAUAAACUCCGAAUGCCAAUGAAUUAUGGUCGGCAGUCAGACUGCGAGUGCUAAGAUCCGUAGUCGAAAGGGAAACAGCCCAGACCACCAGCUAAGGUCCCAAAAUAAUUGUUAAGUGGAAAAGGAUGUGGGGUUGCACAGACAACUAGGAUGUUAGCUUAGAAGCAGCUAUUCAUUCAAAGAGUGCGUAAUAGCUCACUAGUCGAGUGACCCUGCGCCGAAAAUGUACCGGGGCUAAAACAAUUUACCGAAGCUGUGGAUACCUUUAUAGGUAUGGUAGGAGAGCGUUCUAUGUGUGAUGAAGGUAUACCGUGAGGAGUGCUGGAACGCAUAGAAGUGAGAAUGCCGGUAUGAGUAGCGAAAGACAGGUGAGAAUCCUGUCCACCGUAAGACUAAGGUUUCCAGGGGAAGGCUCGUCCGCCCUGGGUUAGUCGGGACCUAAGGAGAGACCGAAAGGUGUAUCCGAUGGACAACAGGUUGAUAUUCCUGUACUAGAGUAUGUAGUGAUGGAGGGACGCAGUAGGCUAACUAAAGCAGACGAUUGGAAGAGUCUGUCUAAGCAGUGAGGUGUGAAUUGAGUCAAAUGCUUAAUUCUAUAACAUUGAGCUGUGAUGGGGAGCGAAGUUUAGUAGCGAAGUUAGUGACGUCACACUGCCAAGAAAAGCUUCUAGCGUUUAAACAUACUCUACCCGUACCGCAAACCGACACAGGUAGUCGAGGCGAGUAGCCUCAGGUGAGCGAGAGAACUCUCGUUAAGGAACUCGGCAAAAUGACCCCGUAACUUCGGGAGAAGGGGUGCUGACUUUAGGUCAGCCGCAGUGAAUAGGCCCAAGCAACUGUUUAUCAAAAACACAGCUCUCUGCUAAAUCGUAAGAUGAUGUAUAGGGGGUGACGCCUGCCCGGUGCUGGAAGGUUAAGAGGAGUGCUUAGCGUAAGCGAAGGUAUGAAUUGAAGCCCCAGUAAACGGCGGCCGUAACUAUAACGGUCCUAAGGUAGCGAAAUUCCUUGUCGGGUAAGUUCCGACCCGCACGAAAGGCGUAAUGAUUUGGGCACUGUCUCAACGAGAGACUCGGUGAAAUUUUAGUACCUGUGAAGAUGCAGGUUACCCGCGACAGGACGGAAAGACCCCAUGGAGCUUUACUGCAGUUUGAUAUUGAGUGUCUGUACCACAUGUACAGGAUAGGUAGGAGUCUAAGAGAUCGGGACGCCAGUUUCGAAGGAGACGCUGUUGGGAUACUACCCUUGUGUUAUGGCCACUCUAACCCAGAUAGGUGAUCCCUAUCGGAGACAGUGUCUGACGGGCAGUUUGACUGGGGCGGUCGCCUCCUAAAAGGUAACGGAGGCGCCCAAAGGUUCCCUCAGAAUGGUUGGAAAUCAUUCGCAGAGUGUAAAGGUAUAAGGGAGCUUGACUGCGAGAGCUACAACUCGAGCAGGGACGAAAGUCGGGCUUAGUGAUCCGGUGGUUCCGUAUGGAAGGGCCAUCGCUCAACGGAUAAAAGCUACCCUGGGGAUAACAGGCUUAUCUCCCCCAAGAGUUCACAUCGACGGGGAGGUUUGGCACCUCGAUGUCGGCUCGUCGCAUCCUGGGGCUGUAGUCGGUCCCAAGGGUUGGGCUGUUCGCCCAUUAAAGCGGCACGCGAGCUGGGUUCAGAACGUCGUGAGACAGUUCGGUCCCUAUCCGUCGCGGGCGUAGGAAAUUUGAGAGGAUCUGCUCCUAGUACGAGAGGACCAGAGUGGACUUACCGCUGGUGUACCAGUUGUCUUGCCAAAGGCAUCGCUGGGUAGCUAUGUAGGGAAGGGAUAAACGCUGAAAGCAUCUAAGUGUGAAACCCACCUCAAGAUGAGAUUUCCCAUGAUUAUAUAUCAGUAAGAGCCCUGAGAGAUGAUCAGGUAGAUAGGUUAGAAGUGGAAGUGUGGCGACACAUGUAGCGGACUAAUACUAAUAGCUCGAGGACUUAUCCAA